rnacentral:tRNA from 2 species
GCUCUUGUGGUGUAACUGGAUAGCAUACAGGUCUUCGAAACCUGUGGUUAGAGUUCAAAUCUCUACAAGAGCA